GGCGGAGGAGGCAAGCGUUAUCCGGAAUUAUUGGGCGUAAAGGGUGCGUAGGUGAUCAGACAAGUCCCAUGUCAAAGCGUGGUGCUUAACGACAUACAGGCGUGGGAAACUGUGUGACUAGAGUACAGCAGGGGCAGGAGGAAUUCCCGGUGUAGCGAUGAAAUGCGUAGAUAUCGGGAAGAACACCAGUGGCGCAAGCGUUCUGCUGGGCUGUAACUGACACUGAGGCACGAAAGCUAGGGGGGCGAAUGGG
rnacentral:rRNA from 1 species